rnacentral:rRNA from 1 species
AGAGUUUGAUCCUGGCUCAGGAUGAACGCUGGCGGCGUGCCUAACACAUGCAAGUCGAGCGAUUUACUUCGGUUAAAGAGCGGCGGACGGGUGAGUAACGCGUGGGUUAACCUGCCCUGUACACACGGAUAACAUACCGAAAGGUAUGCUAAUACGAGAUAAUAUGCUUUUAUCGCAUGGUAGAAGUAUCAAAGCUUUUGCGGUACAGGAUGGACCCGCGUCUGAUUAGCUAGUUGGUAAGGUAACGGCUUACCAAGGCGACGAUCAGUAGCCGACCUGAGAGGGUGAUCGGCCACAUUGGAACUGAGACACGGUCCAAACUCCUACGGGAGGCAGCAGUGGGGAAUAUUGCACAAUGGGCGAAAGCCUGAUGCAGCAACGCCGCGUGAGCGAUGAAGGCCUUCGGGUCGUAAAGCUCUGUCCUCAAGGAAGAUAAUGACGGUACUUGAGGAGGAAGCCCCGGCUAACUACGUGCCGGCAGCCGCGGUAAUACGUAGGGGGCUAGCGUUAUCCGGAAUUACUGGGCGUAAAGGGUGCGUAGGUGGUUUCUUAAGUCAGAGGUGAAAGGCUACGGCUCAACCGUAGUAAGCCUUUGAAACUGGGAAACUUGAGUGCAGGAGAGGAGAGUGGAAUUCCUAGUGUAGCGGUGAAAUGCGUAGAUAUUAGGAGGAACACCAGUUGCGAAGGCGGCUCUCUGGACUGUAACUGACACUGAGGCACGAAAGCGUGGGGAGCAAACAGGAUUAGAUACCCUGGUAGUCCACGCCGUAAACGAUGAGUACUAGCUGUCGGAGGUUACCCCCUUCGGUGGCGCAGCU